AUCUUCACUAAGGGCUGAUGCCAGGGCUUUGCGCAGCACUCGCCGCCCUUUUCCUCUGGUAGCUGCUGCCGGGGAAACAAGACACAGCUUUUGGGCCAGGCGCCGAGAAGGCACCGAGACAGGGCUGAGCCGGAGCCCUCAGGCAGGGCCUGAAAGGAAAGGCUCAAGCUGACAGGGAAAAGCGGGUCUAUUCUCGGCCACUGCUUUGUCUGCCCUGUCGUCCUGGUAACUUCUGGGCUUGGGCCCUUGCUCUGGGCAAGGAACGCUCGGGGCUCACUCUCCCUCCACAGCCAUGCAGUCAGAUAGGUGCUGUGCAUUUAAGGCAGGCAGAGAGCUGGGGAUGGCGGUGAUGCCCAAGAGACCUGCAUGCUCUUAAUGUAAAGGGAUAUGUAGGUGGGUCCAUACACCCUUUACUUAACAUUUAGAUGUAGUGAUGUCUGUCACAGGAGACCACCACCCACCCCCAUUCCAAAGGGCCAGCAUUAGCCCUGCUAGCAGGCAGGCUGGCCAAGAAAUAAUGGAAAUGAAGUGUUGUCACUGAAGCUUAGACACAAAUAUUUAUUAAGCACAAACCCCCCCUUCCCCUUGAGCUGUAUUCAUUUCUAAUAUAUUAAUUCAUUUGGCAGAUUAUUUUUUAGAAAAAAAAGUACCUGUGGGUUGGAAAUUCCCCAUUAAAAUGACAUUAGCAAAUGCACAUGUAAAAAAUAAAUAAGCUCAUACAUUCAAGUAUAUGGCAAAUAAUUAACAUCUCUGAAAGCUUAACGGUCAGAUUCCAGUUCACCCCCUGGCUGAGAGCUGCACAGGCCCAAGCCUGCAGCUGAUCAAGUCAUCUUCAAUGUUUUCCUCCUCUUUACAAAUGCGAGCUGGGUCAGUACGUAGGUGGCUGGGCAGGUCCUCCUAUCCCUUCUCCAGAGCUCUGACCAGCCCCAGGAAGGAGGCCGAGCCUCGGCCAAGCGAUCCAUGCAGCAGCGUAGCAGGAACAUACCUGCUUUGGCAGAACUCAUUACUGGAGUUUCUGAAGUCCAAGAUAGCCUAUCUAGUCAAGGAAGGAAAAAAGACUCCACCUCCUGAAGUUAGAUUUCUGCUCCCUGGGCUUGCUUUUCCAACUGUUCCAAAAGGGGAAGGAACGAAAGCAAAUGUAGGCUCUUGUGCUUGUCUGUGGGGUGGAACUGACUUCCCAGCCAACACCCCAAGUCUGGAGCUCUCGAGAGGCUCCAUUUGUUGGAGACAGAUUGGGCAGAAGCGGAGUGCCUUGCCAGGAGCAGCUCUGCCGGGGCCUGCAGGGACUGAGAGAAGCUCAGCACUGGUUUGGGAAGAAACGAGGGAAGGGAAGGGCUGUUAUCCCUGACCGCUGUUGGGACACAAAAGGGAGGAGGGGGUGGUUCUGCUUUGCUCUCCUGACAAGCCAUGGGCAGGAAACUUUGCUGGCUCUCGAAGCGGAUCAUUGCUUCUGCCUCGGGCACACUCACCUGGCGCACAGCACAAUCCUGCACGAGACUUCUGGCUCAGCGGCACCAGAAGGGAUGAGUUGCCCGCAUUUUGCCUUGUGCUGAACAGAUGAGCAGAGACCUCCCUCCUCCCUUCCUGGGCACAGGCCCCUGUCUCAGGCCUGCAGUUUGGGCUGCACGGCUGGCAGUUACCUUUCAGGCUUUGUCCCAGGCUGAAGCUGGGCUUUGCUGCACGGCUGUUCUCUAGAGGUAACCAAAUCCCACUAAAGCUCAGGGCGAGCAAGGCUUUGGCUCCUGCUCAGGAGGUCCCGGUACAGCUCUGCACGGGACUGCGGCUGGGGAAGCAGAGGGGGUGUCACAGGGCUCAUUGCAGAGUCCUCGGCAAACCUAAAAUAAACUUUAAGGUGUGUGGGACCAUGACUGCAGCUGGGGUGGGGCUGAGGUUUAAAAGCACUGGUGUGACCUCUGACUUGGGCUCAUUUCCUCCUGUAGAAAGAAAAAAGCUGAGCAAGGCAUUCCAGGGAAGGAUCCAGAGCAAUUUGUGUCACCUCGUGAUGCAGGCAAGACAGGAGGACUUCAAAAUGGAAAAGAUGCUCUUUCCUUCCCCCAUUAAAUUAAAAGUGUUGUGGAAAUAAAAGACAUCAAGGCUGGAGUUAA